rnacentral:rRNA from 1 species
UACAUGUGGGGCAAGCGUUGUUCGGAAUUACUGGGCAUAAAGGGUGCGUAGGCGGUUUGUUAAGUCAGGGGUGAAAGUUUUCGGCCCAACCGGAAAAUUGCCUUUGAUACUGGCGAACUUGAGUGCGUGAGGGGUAACCGGAACGAGCAGUGUAGCGGUGAAAUGCGUAGAUAUUGCUCGGAAGGCCAACGGCGAAGGCAGGUUACUGGUACGCAACUGACGCUGAGGAGCGAAAGCCAGGGGAGCAAACGGG